CCUACGUGCGGCAGCAGUGGGGAAUAUUUGGCAAUGGGCGCAAGCCUGACCCAGCAAUGCCGCGUGAAGGAAGAAGGCUUUCGGGUUGUAAACUUCUUUGACAGGGGAAGAGCAGAAGACGGUACCCUGAAAACAAGCCAAGGCUAACUACGGGCCAGCAGCCGCGGUAAUACGUAGGUGGCAAGCGUUCCCCGGAUUCACUGGGUGAAAAGGGAGUGUAGCCGGGAAGGCAAGUCAGAUGUGAAAUCCGGAGGCUCAACCCUCGAAUUGCAUUUGAAACUGUUUUUCUUGAGUACUGGAGAGGCAGACGGAAUUCCUUGUGUAGCGGUGAAAUGCGUAGAUAUAAGGAGGAACACAAGUGGCGAAGGCGGUCUGCUGGACAGCAACUGACGGUGAGGCUCGAAAGCGUGGGGAGCAAACAGGAUUAGAUACCCGGGUAGUC
rnacentral:rRNA from 1 species